AGGGUUUGAUUAUGGCUCAGAUUGAACGCUGGCGGCAGGCCUAACACAUGCAAGUCGAGCGGUAGAGAGGUGCUUGCACCUCUUGAGAGCGGCGGACGGGUGAGUAAUGCCUAGGAAUCUGCCUGGUAGUGGGGGAUAACGCUCGGAAACGGACGCUAAUACCGCAUACGUCCUACGGGAGAAAGCAGGGGACCUUCGGGCCUUGCGCUAUCAGAUGAGCCUAGGUCGGAUUAGCUAGUUGGUGGGGUAAUGGCUCACCAAGGCGACGAUCCGUAACUGGUCUGAGAGGAUGAUCAGUCACACUGGAACUGAGACACGGUCCAGACUCCUACGGGAGGCAGCAGUGGGGAAUAUUGGACAAUGGGCGAAAGCCUGAUCCAGCCAUGCCGCGUGUGUGAAGAAGGUCUUCGGAUUGUAAAGCACUUUAAGUUGGGAGGAAGGGCAUUAACCUAAUACGUUAGUGUUUUGACGUUACCGACAGAAUAAGCACCGGCUAACUCUGUGCCAGCAGCCGCGGUAAUACAGAGGGUGCAAGCGUUAAUCGGAAUUACUGGGCGUAAAGCGCGCGUAGGUGGUUCGUUAAGUUGGAUGUGAAAUCCCCGGGCUCAACCUGGGAACUGCAUUCAAAACUGUCGAGCUAGAGUAUGGUAGAGGGUGGUGGAAUUUCCUGUGUAGCGGUGAAAUGCGUAGAUAUAGGAAGGAACACCAGUGGCGAAGGCGACCACCUGGACUGAUACUGACACUGAGGUGCGAAAGCGUGGGGAGCAAACAGGAUUAGAUACCCUGGUAGUCCACGCCGUAAACGAUGUCAACUAGCCGUUGGGAGCCUUGAGCUCUUAGUGGCGCAGCUAACGCAUUAAGUUGACCGCCUGGGGAGUACGGCCGCAAGGUUAAACUCAAAUGAAUUGACGGGGGCCCGCACAGCGGUGGAGCAUGUGGUUUAAUUCG
rnacentral:rRNA from 1 species